rnacentral:rRNA from 1 species
AACGCGAAGAACCUUACCUGGGCUUGACAUGUAGGUGACCGCACUAGAAAUAGUGUUUUCCCGCAAGGGACAGUUACACAGGUGCUGCAUGGCUGUCGUCAGCUCGUGCCGUGAGGUGUUGGGUUAAGUCCCGCAACGAGCGCAACCCUUGUCGUUAGUUGCCAGCGCGUAAUGGCGGGCACUCUAACGAGACUGCCUAGGUUAACUAGGAGGAAGGUGAGGAUGACGUCAAGUCCGCAUGGCCUUUAUGCCCAGGGCUACACACGUGCUACAAUGGUCGGUACAGAAGGCAGCGAAACCGCGAGGUGGAGCAAAUCCUCAAAGCCGGCCCCAGUUCAGAUUGUAGUCUGCAACUCGACUACAUGAAGAUGGAAUUGCUAGUAAUGGCGAGUCAGCAACAUCGCCGUGAAUACGUUCCCGGGCCUUGUACACACCGAGACGAC